AUUGAACGCUGGCGGCAUGCCUUACACAUGCAAGUCGAACGGCAGCACGGGUGCUUGCCCCUGGUGGCGAGUGGCGAACGGGUGAGUAAUACAUCGGAACAUGUCCUGUAGUGGGGGAUAGCCCGGCGAAAGCCGGAUUAAUACCGCAUACGAUCUACGGCUGAAAGCGGGGGACCUUCGGGCCUCGCGCUAUAGGGUUGGCCGAUGGCUGAUUAGCUAGUUGGUGGGGUAAAGGCCUACCAAGGCGACGAUCAGUAGCUGGUCUGAGAGGAAGACCAGCCACACUGGGACUGAGACACGGCCCAGACUCCUACGGGAGGCAGCAGUGGGGAAUUUUGGACAAUGGGCGAAAGCCUGAUCCAGCAAUGCCGCGUGUGUGAAGAAGGCCUUCGGGUUGUAAAGCACUUUUGUCCGGAAAGAAAUCCUUGGCCCUAAUACGGUCGGGGGAUGACGGUACCGGAAGAAUAAGCACCGGCUAACUACGUG
rnacentral:rRNA from 1 species